rnacentral:lncRNA from 1 species
UCGAGUCUGCAAUGUCCUGAGGACAACUCGAUUUUUCAGGGAUUUCAAGUGGUAUCGAUCGACAACAGGAGUUUGUGUCGAUCGAUGUUUGAAGGUUGGGGUCGAUCGAUGUUGAAAAGCUGGUAUCGAUCGAUGUGACGGUUGGGAUGUCGAUCGAUGUCGAGGUCGUGUCACUAAUAUCAGCUACUUCUACUGUUCUCAGCUUUCCAGACUCAUGUUGCUCAUCAUCCUCCACCAUAUAUUUCAGCAUAGAACUUAUCUCAAUCUCUAGAUUUGCUGCA